GAUGAACGCUGGCGGCGUGCCUAAUACAUGCAAGUCGAGCGAACGGACGAGAAGCUUGCUUCUCUGAUGUUAGCGGCGGACGGGUGAGUAACACGUGGAUAACCUACCUAUAAGACUGGGAUAACUUCGGGAAACCGGAGCUAAUACCGGAUAAUAUUUUGAACCGCAUGGUUCAAAAGUAAAAGACGGUCUUGCUGUCACUUAUAGAUGGAUCCGCGCUGCAUUAGCUAGUUGGUAAGGUAACGGCUUACCAAGGCAACGAUGCAUAGCCGACCUGAGAGGGUGAUCGGCCACACUGGAACUGGGACACGGUCCAGACUCCUACGGGAGGCAGCAGUAGGGAAUCUUCCGCAAUGGGCGAAAGCCUGACGGAGCAACGCCGCGUGAGUGAUGAAGGUCUUCGGAUCGUAAAACUCUGUUAUUAGGGAAGAACAUAUGUGUAAGUAACUGUGCACAUCUUGACGGUACCUAAUCAGAAAGCCACGGCUAACUACGU
rnacentral:rRNA from 1 species